rnacentral:rRNA from 1 species
UACGUAGGGUGCAGGCGUUAAUCGGAAUUACUGGGCGUAAAGCGUGCGCAGGCGGUUUGCUAAGACAGGUGUGAAAUCCCCGGGCUUAACCUGGGAACUGCGCUUGUUACUGGCAGGCUUGAGUGUGGCAGAGGGGGGUGGAAUUCCACGUGUAGCAGUGAAAUGCGUAGAUAUCAGGAGGAACACCGAUGGCGAAGGCAGGUCUCUGGGCUGACACUGACGCUCAUGCACGAAAGCGUGGGGAGCAAACAGG